CCUACGGGCGGCAGCAGUGAGGAAUAUUGGUCAAUGGACGGAAGUCUGAACCAGCCAUGCCGCGUGCAGGAAGACGGCUCUAUGAGUUGUAAACUGCUUUUGUACAAGGGUAAACCUGAAUACGUGUAUGCAGCUGAAAGUACUGUACGAAUAAGGAUAGGCUAACUCCGUGCCAGCAGCCGCGGUAAUACGGAGGAUCCAAGCGUUAUCCGGAUUUAUUGGGGUGAAAGGGUGCGUAGGCGGAUUGAUAAGGUAGAGGUGAACUGUCCGAGCUUAACUCGGGAACUGCCUCUAAUACUGUUGAUCUAGAGCGUAGCUGCGGUAGGCGGAAUGUAUUGUGUAGCGG
rnacentral:rRNA from 1 species